rnacentral:rRNA from 1 species
CAGCACCUCAAGUGGUCAGGAUGAUUAUUGGGCCUAAAGCAUCCGUAGCCGGCGCUGUAAGUUUUCGGUUAAAUCUGUACGCUCAACGUACAUGCUGCCGGGAAUACUGCAGCGCUAGGGAGUGGGAGAGGUAGACGGUACUCGGUAGGAAGGGGUAAAAUCCUUUGAUCUAUUGAUGACCACCUGUGGCGAAGGCGGUCUACCAGAACACGUCCGACGGUGAGGGAUGAAAGCUGGGGGAGCAAACCGGAUUAGAUACCCGAGUAGUCC